CGUUCCUGUUGAUGCUACUGCUGCUGUUGAAGAGGCGACAGAGAGCGAGAGAGAGAGAGAGAGAGAGAAAGAGAGAACGAGCGGAGAGGAGCCUCUCCAACGACAUGCGAAGAGACGCGUCCGACGCGACGACGACGGACAACGAGCGAGGAUCGCAGACAGCCCUAGUGAGACACGUCGGCGGCGACGAACGACAGAAGUAUCCAUGGAACUGAAAAUCCUCCUGUGGUUUCACAUCGUGGGAAUCUGUUCGGGUCUGCGGGGAGUGCGCAUCCAGAUACCGACGGCCGUGAGGAAGGGCGACUCGGCGACGCUGAAAUGUUGGUACGACACCGAGGGCGACCCAUUGUACGCCGUCAAGUGGUACAAAGGGGGUCGAGAGUUUUAUCGCUAUGCUCCGAACGAGAGUCCGCCCGUCAAGACUUUCCCCAUCGGAAACCUGACGGUGAAGAAAACGGAGAGCAACGCGACGCAGGUCGUGCUGACGAAGUUGGAAUUGGAGGCGGCAGGCGCGUACAGCUGCGAGGUAUCAGCCGAUGCGCCUUCCUUCCACACGGCUAUAGUUUACGCGGCGAUGAACGUCGUCGAAUUGCCCUCUGAGAUGCCGUCGAUACAGGGACUAAAGAGGAAAUACCGCGUCGACGAUCCGCUACGUUUGAACUGCACAUCCGGCCGGAGCAAACCCGCCGCGAAUCUCACUUGGUAUAUCAACGAUCGACAGCCUCUCAAAGCGCACGUUCGCACGUACAGCCCACUCGACACGAACGAAUCGGAGUGGCAGAUCUCGCAAAUUGGGCUCCAGUUCCUGGUUUCGCACGAUCACUUCGUGAGCGGCAAGCUGAAGAUACGUUGCAGCGCGUCGAUAUACGAUAUUUAUUGGCAGAGCACAGAAGUUAGCGCCGAGGAGGAUCGGCCGCGAGUGAUACAUUACGAGCCUGCCGCGACUAUCGUCGGUAUCAACUACCUCCAGCCACCGCCAAAUUUUCAGACCGGCCAGAAGAAACCUGACGGGCAGGUUGGAGUAAAAGUGCUGGGGUCCUCCACGGUGAGCCUGCGGCCGUCAGCGAGGAUCGUUUUGGAAUUGUUUGCGCUUCUUCUAAUCGUCAUUCGUUAAAGGCAUAUAGUGCAUCGUUCGAGAAACGCGCUUUGGAACACUGCGUACGUUGACGUGUUUGUAAGAAGAGGAGAAGGAGGAGGAGAUGGAGGAGAAGAAGAAGGAAGAGACUGGCGGAGGGCUCGAGAGGCGCUUUGUGCGAUGAUGACGUUUCCUCUAUGGGAUCGCCUCGGAUCACCACGCAGCAGUAAUAUCCAACCGGAGCGAACACAGGAAACUCCUUGGGUCACGUCACGGCGAUGAAACCUGAAAGGCUUGUUCGAAUGGUAGAGGAAUGGAAGUGACGGGACGCAACCGAUAGUUCGAUCGGCUUCGGACGACUAGAAAAGGCCGAA